rnacentral:lncRNA from 1 species
AGAAGGGAACUAAAGAGCUGCCUUUUUUUUUUUCCCUUUAAACUACAGUUGUAAUCCAGUCUUCUGGUGGAUUAAGCAAAGAUGAUAUUGAAAACAUGGUUAAAAAUGCAGAGAAGUACGCUGAAGAAGACCGGAGGAAGAAGGAACGUGUUGAAGCAGUUAAUAUGGCUGAAGGAAUUAUUCAUGACACAGAAACCAAGAUGGAAGAAUUCAAGGACCAGUUGCCUGCUGACGAGUGCAACAAGCUAAAGGAAGAGAUUUCCAAAAUGAGAGAACUCCUUGCUCGAAAGGACAGUGAAACAGGAGAAAACAUUAGGCAGGCGGCAUCUUCCCUUCAGCAGGCAUCAUUGAAACUCUUUGAAAUGGCAUAUAAAAAGAUGGCAUCUGAACGGGAAGGUUCUGGAAGUUCUAGCACUGGGGAACAGAAGGAAGAUCAGAAGGAAGAGAAACAGUAAUAGUGGCAGUGCAUUGUGGAGCCAGGACGACAUACUAUGAAGCUUGGGAGUAAAGGAACUUCCUGAGCAGAAAAGGGGCAAACUUCAGUCUUUUUACUGUAUUUUUGCAGUAUUCUAUAUAUAAUUUCCUUAAUAUAUAAAUCCAGUGACAAUAGCUAUAACUCAUUUAAUGGUAAUAAAGUCAGCAAUAGCAGGUUCACACUUCUAUAACUAGCCUGCUGUUUUCAGCUGCACGUAAAGGGGUGGGAUGGGGCUGCGUACCAAUCAUUAUUAGGUAAAUCUGGUUUGUGCUGAAGUAGCUAUGUUUUCAAGAUGGAAGCCCAUUUCACAUGCAGUAGAGGUAAUCUGUCAUGGACCUUGAAUUGAGGUCAUAUGCAGAUGCUUGUUGACCAAGAGCACUGCUAUAAAUGACCUGUGUGUACAUUUGCUCCUUCAACUGAUGCCUUGCAAGACUAAGCUCUCUGUGUCAUGGUCUAUAGGUACAGAAGUUAGGUCAAUGGAUAACAGCUGUGUUAGCCAUAGCUUAAAGUGAUCUAUCAAGAAUUAUACAAGCCUCUCAUGGGCCUAAGGCAUACUUCUCCAGCUACCCUCUUGGGUGGCCAAUGUCUGACAUCUAUAUUCUUGAUGAUUGUUCCUUUUUCAUCCAUUCUGGAUUUUUUUUUUUUUUAAUAAAAUUCUGAAAGCCUCUUGAUCUCCUUUGUGAAUGGUAGUAGCUCAAGGACUAUGACUGUACCAUCAGGUUUGUGAGUAGAGGUAAAAAAUCAACACUGGCUAAAAGGUUGAACAAAUUAAACAUGGUGAGGGACUAAAUAACAUGUUGGCAUGUAUGCUGGAUGUGGAAGCCCACUCAGGAAGCAGUGUGAAGCCAGGCGGGGCUACACAAUGAGACACCCCGUCUUAAUAAAAUACUGGCAUAAACGAAUCCAGUUGUUGUAGUCUUCUAUCUAGAAAAAACUAAGUGCUGUUUUUACCUUGAACAAAUUUUGAGCAGAGUUGAUAAAGAAUAUAGUAUUAUCAUUCAGAAGUCCUAAUGUCUAAUUCCAGUGACUCAGAACAAUUACCCUUUUUGUGUGUGUGUGUGUGUGUGUGUUCUCUCCACUGUCCUGGAGAGAAAGACAACUUUGUAUAGUCCUUUUUUAUUUAUUUUUUUGUCUAUGGUUAUGUGCACGGAUCCCUGGAGCUGUAGCUAUAGGCAGCUGUGAAUCUGGUGGCACUUCAUGGGCCAUUAUGUGCUGUUGAUCUUCCUACAUAAAUCCCUUUUUAUUAUUUUUUUUGAAACAGUUUCACUAUGUAGAAUGCUAGGUUUAAAGGAAUGUACUACCAAGCCCACCUGAUUUCAAACAUUUCAAAGCAGGUUAGGGUUUCCAAGAUAGAAAAAUAGGAUAUACAGCUAUUAUAAGU